CACGUAGGGCGCAAGCGUUGUCCGGAAUUAUUGGGCGUAAAGAGCUCGUAGGCGGUCUGUUACGUCUGCUGUGAAAACCCAGGGCUUAACCCUGGGCUUGCAGUGGAUACGGGCAGACUAGAGGCAGGUAGGGGAGAAUGGAAUUCCCGGUGUAGCGGUGAAAUGCGCAGAUAUCGGGAGGAACACCGGUGGCGAAGGCGGCUAUCUGGCCCAACAUUGACGCUCAGACCCGAAAGCGUGGGGAUCAAACAGG
rnacentral:rRNA from 1 species